GAUUGGCCAUUUUGGAAUCUCGGAAGAAACUUGCUUUCAAUAUUUUGACAAGUAACGGUUACUAACCAGCUUUUAUAUGUAUACUAGAAUGACUAUCAAUUUUUGUUAUAAUUUGUAUUCAUUUCGGUAUAUUUUUAAGCUGUCUUACUAAUUUUCAACACGUAGAUCCACCCAAAGAAAGAGAUAUCGUGAAGGUAAUGAACAAGCAGGUAUUAAUGCAUCCACAGACACUUGUUGGCAGAAGAAAGGUUCUGGAAGGGCUUACAAUAGUUUGUCAGGUGUGGCAUCACUGAUAGGGGAAAAAACAGGGAAAAUUGUGCAUCACACCCUCAGAAUAUCCAGCUGCCGUAUAUGUCGUAAUGCACAAAAGAAUGGAAGACCACCUAAUACCACACAAUUGUAAAAAAAACUGGUCAGGGACAGCAAAGGGCAUGGAACCAGACAUGGUAGUACAGUUGGUGAAGGAUGUACAUGAACAAAAUAUUGAAAUUAAUGAACUGGCAGGUGAUGAUGAUUCUGUUGGGUUUGACAGGGCAAAGAAACUUCUUCCAAAUUCUAAAAUGGCAAAAACCAGUGAUAGAAAUCAUAUAAUCAAAAAUAUCAUCAAAAAGCUGUACAGCCUAAAACCAAAGCAAAAGGAGUUGACGCCAAUGGUAAUAAAUGCAAUUACCAAGAAUUAUUCCUACAUGUUGGCACAAAACCAAGGCAGUCCAGAAAAAAUUGAAAAAGGAGUCAGAGGGAUGAUUGACCAUAUGUAUGGGAAACACCAAACCUGUGAUAUGAAAUGGUGUGGUUAUCUAAAAGACAGAACAUCAUACAGGCACACAAACUUACCCCUCGGAAAGGACUUGACAUCUGAAAGCCUCAAAGCUGAUCUAGAGAAAUUGUUUAUGGGAAAAAUUGAAAGCCAAUCAAAGAAACUGUCAAAACUUGCUAGUUCCCAAGCAAAUGAAAGCUUUAACCAUACGGUCUCAACCAAAGCAGGAAAAAAUAAGCAUUAUUCUGGUUCCUCAAGUUUAAAUUAUCGUGUCAGUGCAGCAGUCUUACAAAAAAAUGAGGGAUAUGGUUAUUUGUCAAAGGUUAGUGAAGCAGCAGGGUUGUCACCUCCCGUAUGAUAAACAUGACACGUACUCCUGUCGGACAGUAGCCGUACUGUAGCAGUACUGAGAACCGUACUUAUAAUAUUCAUUUGGACUUUUCUUUGAAUUGCUUAUAAUAGAUACCCCGGCAGGACUUUCAGCGAAAUUAGCCGUAAACCGGCUCGAAAUAUUUAAAUUAGCAGGAGUCCGGUUCAUAAAGUCCAGCUGGACUUUAAUAAAAGUGCGUCUGAAAAAAAAUCCAGCCGGCAUUACUGGCAAAAAUAUGGACUCUAUAAAGUUCAGCUGGACUUCAAAAAGUGCAGUUUGACUUUUAAAGAUGAUCUCAGCAGGGGUGAAUCCAGCUAUUUUC